UUGGAGGGCAAGUCUGGUGCCAGCAGCCGCGGUAAUUCCAGCUCCAAUAGCGUAUAUUAAAGUUGUUGCAGCUAAAAAGCUCGUAGUUGAAUUUCGGGGUCAGUAGGUUGGUCGUGCCUAUGGUAUGUACUGGCUUUACUGAUUCCUCCUUCUUGAAGAACUGUAAUGUCAUUAAUUUGGUGUUGCAGGGAAACAGGACUGUUACUUUGAAAAAAUUAGAGUGUUUAAAGCAGGCUAACGCUUGAAUACAUUAGCAUGGAAUAAUGAAAUAGGACGUUCGAUCCUAUUUUGUUGGUUUCUAGGAUUGACGUAAUGAUUAAUAGGGAUAGUUGGGGGCAUUAGUAUUCAAUUGUCAGAGGUGAAAUUCUUGGAUUUAUUGAAGACUAACUACUGCGAAAGCAUUUGCCAAGGAUGUUUUCAUUAAUCAAGAACGAAAGUUAGGGGAUCGAAGACGAUCAGAUACCGUCGUAGUCUUAACCAUAAACUAUGCCGACUAGGGAUCGGAUGAUGUUAAUUUUUUAAUGACUCAUUCGGCGCCUUACGGGAAAC
rnacentral:rRNA from 1 species